GACGAACGCUGGCGGCGUGCUUAACACAUGCAAGUCGAACGGAAAGGCCCCUUUGGGGGUACUCGAGUGGCGAACGGGUGAGUAACACGUGAGUAACCUGCCCUUGACUUCGGGAUAACUUCAGGAAACUGGGGCUAAUACCGGAUAGGAAUCCUUGCUGCAUGGUGGGGGUUGGAAAGCUUCGGCGGUUUUGGAUGGACUCGCGGCUUAUCAGCUUGUUGGUGGGGUAGUGGCUUACCAAGGCUUUGACGGGUAGCCGGCCUGAGAGGGCGACCGGCCACAGUGGGACUGAGAUACGGCCCAGACUCCUACGGGAGGCAGCAGUGGGGAAUAUUGCACAAGGGGCGGAAGCCUGAUGCAGCAACGCCGCGUGCGGGAUGACGGCCUUCGGGUUGUAAACCGCUUUCAGCAGGGGCGAAGCUUGUGGUGACGGUACCUGCAGAAGAAGCACCGGCUAACUACGUG
rnacentral:rRNA from 1 species